UUGACCUCGAAUCAGGUAGGAAUACCCGCUGAACUUAAGCAUAUCAAUAAGCGGAGGAAAAGAAACCAACAGGA
rnacentral:rRNA from 1 species